rnacentral:pre_miRNA from 1 species
GUUUGACUCUUCGUCUUAUUUAAAAAAUUGUAAUUAAUAUUUUUAUUGCUAUUAGAUGAUAAAACAUGAAUAGUAUUUUACUCGUGACUAAUUUUUUUGAGUUUUUUAAUAACUUUUUCAAAUUAGUCGGAUGGUCAAAC